rfam:Schistosoma curassoni strain Dakar, Senegal genome assembly, scaffold: SCTD_contig0002302
AUCCAGCUGAUGAGUUCUAAAUAGGACGAAAUACUCAUUCUGGAU